CCCCCUGUGAUCAGCCAUUCCCCGUGCAGGUAUACACACAAAAGCAUUGAAAGCAGGGACUCAAACAGCAGCGUUCACAGCAGCAUUAUUCACAGUAGCCACAAGGUGGCGACAACCCAGGUGUCUGUGGACAGAUGAACGGAUAAACAAUACGGGGGACACGCCUGCAAAGGAGUAUCUUUCAGCCUUUAAAAGGAAGGAAAUUCUGACGGACGCUCACGCUCCAACGUGGUCGGACCCUGAGGAUGUGAUGCUGAGUGACAUAAGGCAGAUACAACAGGACACGCAGUCUGUGAUUCCUCUUUCAUGAGUCCUUUGUGCAUGUGCCGUGACUUUAUUAUAUCACAGGACCAGUCUGAACAAGUCUAUAGUAGUGAUGAGGCAGGAAAGUACAGAUAGUACACGUAUAUUGCAGAGCUCCUGUAUUAACAAGCACAACAUAGAAGGAAAGAACUGCGUAACUGCUUUACCUUUUCAGUUACAGAUGUUUGGCCCAGCAAAUAUGGAUUGUUGUUUGAACAACAGCUCUUCACAUGAGGUGCCUCCAUGUCCACCCAGGUAUUCAGUCCACUCAGUUUAGAAUAUUAUUAUUUUGGUUUAUUUGAGUUUGUUCUGAAGUAAAAUUAUUUGCCUACGAGUUUUGGGAUGAUGACGAUUUCCAUGGUAACAGCACAGAUCUGUGCCAGUUUCUCUCAUCUCAGUGUUGUACAUGUGUGAGUUCUACUCCUCACUUGGUAUGAAUCAUCUAGAGAUUUUUUUCCCCUCACAUAGGAAAAUCCAACAAGCUUAUACUUAAAGAUAACAAGGCUGAAUUCUUAGCUCUGCUAUUUUUUCAUUGUUCUUCUUUGGGCAAAUCAUUAGAGCUUUUUUAGCUUUAAUUUUGUUUUUUUAUUUGUUACAGAAAUACUAUCAUUUCCCUCUUAGGAUUUAUGCAGGGUUCAGUGAGCUGAUGUUUACCAUCUUUGACACAGGGCUUAGUACAUCUUAGGUGUGCAGGAAACAGCAGGUGCUCCUUGGUGGUGUGUUUCCCUGUCUCCCAGUCAGUUGUGAGCUCCCUGCAGGGGAGGGACACA